rnacentral:rRNA from 1 species
GAUGAACGCUGGCGGCGUGCCUAACACAUGCAAGUCGAACGAAGCACUUUGGCUUGAUUCUUCGGAUGAAGGCUAUUGUGACUGAGUGGCGGACGGGUGAGUAACGCGUGGGUAACCUGCCUCAUACAGGGGGAUAACAGUUAGAAAUGACUGCUAAUACCGCAUAAGACCACGGAGUCGCAUGACUCAGUGGGAAAAACUCCGGUGGUAUGAGAUGGACUCGCGUCUGAUUAGGUAGUUGGUGGGGUAACGGCCUACCAAGCCGAGGAUCAGUAGCCGACCUGGGAGGGUAACCGGCCACAUUGGGACUGGGACACGGCCCAAACUCCUACGGGAGGCAGCAGUGGGGAAUAUUGCACAAUGGGGGAAACCCUGAUGCAGCGACGCCGCGUGAGCGAAGAAGUAUUUCGGUAUGUAAAGCUCUAUCAGCAGGGAAGAAAAUGACGGUACCUGACUAAGAAGCACCGGCUAAAUACGUGCCAGCCGCCGCCGUAA